UACGGAGGGUGCGAGCGUUGUCCGGAAUCAUUGGGCGUAAAGGGCGCGUAGGUGGCUUCUUAAGCGUGCGGUGAAAGCCUGGGGCUCAACCCCGGGUCGGCCGUGCGAACUGGGGGGGCUGGAGCACUGUAGAGGCAGGCGGAAUUCCGGGUGUAGCGGUGGAAUGCGUAGAGAUCCGGAAGAACACCGGUGGCGAAGGCGGCCUGCUGGGCAGUUGCUGACACUGAGGCGCGACAGCGUGGGGAGCGAACAGG
rnacentral:rRNA from 1 species